rnacentral:rRNA from 1 species
AGCGAACGCUGGCGGCAGGCCUAACACAUGCAAGUCGAACGAACUCUUCGGAGUUAGUGGCGGACGGGUGAGUAACACGUGGGAACGUGCCUUUUGGUUCGGAAUAACUCAGGGAGACUUGUGCUAAUACCGAAUGUGCCCUUCGGGGGAAAGAUUUAUCGCCAUUAGAGCGGCCCGCGUCUGAUUAGCUAGUUGGUGAGGUAAAGGCUCACCAAGGCGACGAUCAGUAGCUGGUCUGAGAGGAUGACCAGCCACACUGGGACUGAGACACGGCCCAGACUCCUACGGGAGGCAGCAGCGGGGAAUCUUGCGCAAUGGGCGAAAGCCUGACGCAGCCAUGCCGCGUGAAUGAUGAAGGUCUUAGGAUUGUAAAAUUCUUUCACCGGGGACGAUAAUGACGGUACCCGGAGAAGAAGCCCCGGCUAACUUCGUGCCAGCAGCCGCAGUAA